GUCGAGCGACAGACGAGGAGCUUGCUCCUCUGACGUUAGCGGCGGACGGGUGAGUAACACGUGGAUAACCUACCUAUAAGACUGGGAUAGCUUCGGGAAACCGGAGCUAAUACCGGAUAAUAUAUUGAACCGCAUGGUCCAAUAGUGAAAGACGGUUUUGCUGUCACUUAUAGAUGGAUCCGCGCCGCAUUAGCUAGUUGGUAAGGUAACGGCUUACCAAGGCAACGAUGCGUAGCCGACCUGAGAGGGUGAUCGGCCACACUGGAACUGAGACACGGUCCAGACUCCUACGGGAGGCAGCAGUAGGGAAUCUUCCGCAAUGGGCGAAAGCCUGACGGAGCAACGCCGCGUGAGUGAUGAAGGUCUUCGGAUCGUAAAACUCUGUUAUUAGGGAAGAACAAAUGUGUAAGUAACUAUGCACGUCUUGACGGUACCUAAUCAGAAAGCCACGGCUAACUACGUGCCAGCAGCCGCGGUAAUACGUAGGUGGCAAGCGUUAUCCGGAAUUAUUGGGCGUAAAGCGCGCGUAGGUGGUUUUUUAAGUCUGAUAUGAAAGCCCACGGCUC
rnacentral:rRNA from 1 species